rnacentral:lncRNA from 1 species
GUUUUUCUGUCAACUCCUCAGUUUUGUUCUAGGCUGGCAUAGGAAUAUAUUUUGACCUAGAGUUACAGGACAGGCAGCAGUGGUUCCCAUGAAUUUUUGUUGUUGUUUGUGGAUUGUUCAUUCUUCACACAGUCACCUGCUGGAUCACGCAAGAUGUACCAUUCAUCACUAAAGGUGUGUAGUAUACCUCCACCUGCUUAGGUAGCAGUCUAUGAUGGCUGGUUCACAGUCAGGCUGCUUUCCUACCAGUAGAGACUGUCACUGCAGGGUUAUUUAAUCUUCCUUCCCUCAUCCUUAGUACUGCAAGGGCAGUCUAUGCACAGAGCCCUGACGAAAUUAAGGCGGUCUCAGUUGUGCUGUGUAACGUGUGGCUAAGGGCUGCUGAUAGUGAGAUAGUGUGUGUAUACGUGUAUAUAGAGGCUGUAGUGUAUGUGUGUAUAGGUGAUGUAAUGUGUGUAAAGGCUGCACAGAGUGUGUUUGCAUGCAGUGAAUCUAGUGUAGACAUAGUGAAUCCAGAGUUUGUGAGGGGUGAAAUGUGUAUAUUUGCAUUCAGUUAAUCUAGUGAGUGCAUAGGUGAUCCAUAAUUAGUUUUUUGAGCAGUACAAUUUGUGUGUGUGAGGGUGGAGGUGCAGUGUGUGUGAGUGCAAUGUGUGCAUGGGUGCAGUGCAAUGUGUGUGAGGGAUGCACUGUGUGUUAGUGGUGCAGUGUGUGUGUGUGUAAGGCGUGCAGUAUGUAUGUGAGGGGCGAAUGGUGUGAGAGAGAUGCAGUGUGUGUGUGAGGGGUGCAAUGUGUGUGUGUGAGGGGUACAAUGUGUGUGUGUAAGGAGAGAAAUGUGUAUGUGAGGGGUGCAAUGUGUGUGUGUGAGGAGAACAAUGUGGAUGUGUUAGGGUUGCAAUGUGUGUGUGAGGCUCAGUGUGUGUGUGUGUGAGGGGUGUAAUGUGUGUGUGUGAGGAGAGCAAUGUGUAUGUGAGGGGUGCAAUGUGUGUGUGUGUGUGUGGAGAACUAUGUGUUAGGGUUGCAAUGUGUGUGUGAGGCUCAGUGUGUGUGUGUGUGUGUGCGCGUGUGUGAUGGGUGCAUUGUGUGUAAGGGGUGCAAUGGGCGUGUGACAGGUGCAGUGUGUGUGUGAGGAGUGCAAUAUUUGAAAGUUUUGGGAGGUAUAAUGCUUCUAUUGUGUGUGUGGGGGUGAGUGAAAAUGGGAGAAAACAUGCAUUAUUAUUUUAUUUAAAAAAACAACUAAUAAGCUUUGCAUCCCCCUUCUUACCUUUGCCUAGGGUGGGGGCACAUUGCAAGCUCUGGUGGUCCAUUGACACUAAGUGUACUCAAGUUCGCUGCUCCUCCUGCUAGAGUGAACUCCUACGACAUUCAACACUGUUGGAGAGUUGCUGUGGUAAUGCUCUGAGCUCGUGAGAGGAAGAUCCUGAACGAUCUGCAGGCUAGAGUCCCUGUGUAUUUCUUUCCGCUCUCCUUAAAGGGACACUAUAGUCACCAGAACAACUACAGCUUAAUGUAGUUGUUCUGGUGAGUAUAAUAGUUCCCUUCAGGCAUUUUUAUGCAAACACAGCCUUUUCAGAGACAAGGCAGUGUUUACAUUGCCCCUAGGGGCCACUGGAGGGGCUUCCUGGCUCAGGGCUGUCGUUCAGCGUCCCCACGCUCUGCAUGGGGACGCUGAAGUUUCCUCAUAGAGAUGCAUUGAUUCAAUGCAUCUCUAUGAGGAGGUGCUGACUGGCCAAAACGGCGUUUGGUCCUGCCCCCUUGCCGAUUUUAGCCAAUCCAAUGCUUUCCCCAUGGUAAAAAGCAGUAAUUUUGAUGAUUUCACCAAGGGGACAGGCAAGUGCCGGCAGACCCGUGAAGAGCUUAAAAUAAGGUGAGUUUUAACCCAUUCUGUGUCGGCUAAAGUGGGGGCAAGCCACCUUAAUGGUGGGUUUUCACUAAAGGGUCAGGAAUACAUGUUUGUGUUCCUGACCCUAUAGUGAUCCUUUAAGUCUGCCACAGUGAACAGAUCUUUGAUCACCCCACUCAUCUAUGAAGCCUCGGCCCAUAGUCAUUGUGGUCUACUGGGCAUUUACCCGGUUUGCCCGAUGGCAAGUCCAGGGCCUGUAUGUAUGUGACUGUAUAUGUGUAUCUAUAUAUAUAUAUAUAUAAAUAUAUAUAUAUAUAUAUAUUGUCACUGCUUGGCAACCAGGAGACUUAGAUUCAAAUCCUGGUCAGCAUACCUCAACAGUAAGUGUCCCUGGGAAAGAUACCGACUGAUAUAUUUGCAUACCCGAAAGACUGCAGUGGAGGUGGAUGUAGACAUACCCAGUGAUCAUAACAUCAAGAAGAAGGAACAUGAGAUAAAUUGGUUGGCUGGUUGUAUUUCUGUCUUUCCUUGGUUAUUCUUAACAGAAGGUAUUCUUUGUGAAAAUGACCAAACCCAUUGGUGUGUUCCUUUUCUCAGAGGAACCUGGUGAUGUGGGUCCAGAGCAGUGUUAAUUUUGUUGACUUACAAUUUCAGUCAAACUUUAAUCGACUAAAACUAGACUAAAAUUAAAACAAUUUAGAUGACUAAAAUACAACUAAAACUAAAAUGGCAUUUUAGUCAAAAGACUAUGACUAAAACUAAAUUAAAAUUUGCUGUCUAAAUUAGCACUGCACCGAGAGGCUGUGGAAGGGGCAAAAGAGACAGGCCAGGGCUUGGGAGAGAGAUACUUUGAGUGGCUUGGAGGUCUAAAGAGACAGAGGCAUUAACUAAACAGUAGAUUUUAGUCAAGUAAAUCUCUAGUAGAUCUUAGUCGACUAAAUCUCCAGCAGACUUUAGUUAACUGAGAUCUACUGGAGAUUUAGUCGCCUAAAACUAGACUAAAACAAUUCAGAUGACUAAAACACGACUAAAGCUAAAAUAACUUUUUAGUUAAAAGACUAUGACUAAAAAUAAAUUGAAAUUUGCUGCCAAAAUUAUCACUGGUCCAAAGUCAGAUUACCCAUUAGGCAACCAAGGCGCCUGGCAGAGGAAUAUCUACUAAAAAUAGCUCCUAUGACAAGCACUGAAAUUGUGUUCCUCGUGACCCAUGUCCAAACAUCUGGCACCUAUCUUUUAGAUAACUUUAACUAUAAAAUCAGCUCACAAAUACAAGUUGUAUGUAAUGUAUAUUGGUGUGGCGUGUGGUUGUGGUGUGUGUGCUGGCUAUAUGUGAUAUGGUGUGUGCUGGCACUCAUUUGUUUUGUGAUUCAGAGUGUUGUCUGUGUUGCCAGAAAAAUGUGGAGGGAAUGGCGAACUAGCUAAUUUAUUAUAUAUAUAUAUAUUUUUCGCAUAGGUGGAAUUCGACCAAACUAAAACACACGGAUGAAAUUCGGUUCAAUUACGACACAUUUUUG